GACGAACGCUGGCGGCGUGCUUAACACAUGCAAGUCGAACGGAAAGGCCCUGCUUUUGUGGGGUGCUCGAGUGGCGAACGGGUGAGUAACACGUGAGUAACCUGGCCUUGACUGUGGGAUAACUUCAGGAAACUGGUGCUAAUACCGGAUAGGAGCGCCUGCUGCAUGGUGGGGGUUGGAAAGUUUAGGCGGUUGGGGAUGGACUCGCGGGUUAUCAGCUUGUUGGUGGAGGAGUGGCUAACCAAGGCUUUGGCGGGUAGCCGGCCUGGGAGGUGGACCGGCGACAUGGGGCCUGCGAUAGGGCCCAGACGCGAACGUGGGGCAGCAGUGGAGAGCCUUGCCCAAUGGGCGGAAGUGUGUGACAACGGCGCCGGGUUCGGGAUGACGGUCUUCGGGGUGUAAACCGCUUUAGCCUGUGACGAUGCGUGAGUGACGUUACUGGGUAAAGAAGCACCGGCUAACUACGUG
rnacentral:rRNA from 1 species